rnacentral:pre_miRNA from 1 species
UCUUCAUUUUCCACACUUUCUCACCGGUCAGAGUGAAGAGAGAGUGUGCAAAAAGAGGAGA